CUGGUCUUAGGCUGUGUCUUGGAGCUUUCCUGUUUUGACCAAGGAGGACUGGAGGCAUUUUGCUUCAAGAACCAGACUGAAGGACUGACAUAAGAUGAAGAUGGAGAAACUGAAUGACAGCAAUGGGAAGUGACUUAUUCAAGGUCACUUCACAGGUCAGUGUCAACUCUGAGUACUUUAUUCAGUGACAAUUAAAGUUAGAUGACAUAAGGCAGAGGUUAAAGACAGACUCCUUUCGGUUCAAAUCGCUGAACCAAGUCCUGCCCCCCCACUCCUACCCUGGGAGCAGCCGAACAGCCAACGCAGGCUGCACCAGAGCACUAGCACUAGCACUAGCACUAGCACUUGGAAGGCAGGAUAAGGGACGUCCGGAAAGUAGGUA